CGGAACGUUUAACCUGAAGAAGGCCGAAAAAUACGGUCGAAAACGUUUGUUUUUCAAAUAAAUAUUUUGCUAAUCACUCAAAGGUUUAUUGUGAAUCUAUUUUUAUAUAUAUUGAACCAGUACCUGAACCGUUUUACGUUGAAUGUUUCAAAGUAAAUAUUCGUUUAUCAUCGAAAUUACAUUUUUCAACACUGGUCUUAAUUAGUGGCAAAUAUCGUUUGUACAUUUAAAAUUUCUUCGUGUUAACAAGUUUAAAGUUUUUAAAAUAUUAUCAAAUUAUGUAUCUUGGAGGCAGCCAACAUUUCUCUUGAAGAAUUCCCUUAAAAAUGACAAGUUUUGAAGAAGAAAGUAAAUACUGUAUUUACAACUGAAAAAAAAUGGAUUUGAUAUUGUAAAGUAAUUACUUCCAAGCUAUGCUGAAGUAACUUUUUCUGCAUUUUUUUGUAAUUAAUAUAAACGGAUUACUUUAUACGUUAACCUUGAAGUUUAGUACUGUAUAUUGUAUUUCGUAGAUUUUCUGUAUCAAAGUCCGAAAAAGAGAAAGUUUUUCUGUGGAAAUUGUGACAAAAAAUUCUGUUUAAAUUCACUUUGAAAUUCAUAGGAGGAUUCACACAGCAAAAAUCGUUUUGUAGCCAGUUAUGCGGUAAAACCGAAUUUUUCGCAAUUAUUCCGGAGAGAAAUCUUUUACCUGCACCACUGCAAACGGAGAUUUACACAAAAGAUCAAUGUAGAAAGGCAUCUUCGAAUUCAUACGGGAGAGAAAUAAUCUAACUGCGAUUAUUGUUUACAAAAGUCUGCUUACAAAUACAGUGUAAAUUCUUACAUGAAACGCUGUAGCAAAGAUUUUCUUAAUUAAUAUAAUUAUUGUAAAAUUUCGAAAUUUGAAAGAAAUAAUAUAAUUCCCAACGUUGCUAUUUAUUCAUUUCCUACGA